CUACUACUCCCUCCGUCCGAAAAUACUUGUCAUUGAAAUGGAUGUAUCUAGAUGUAUUUUAGUUCUAGACACAUCCAUUUUGAUGACAAGUAAUUCCGGACGGAGGGGGUAUUAU
rfam:Triticum aestivum genome assembly, contig: Triticum_aestivum_CS42_TGACv1_scaffold_423356_5BS